UUAUAACUUCCUGUAUAUUAUACUGUAACUAUCUUUUGAUGUACCCCACGGUAUAUAUAGCUUGAGUCAAUCGUCAUAGGAGCAACCACGUGGAGGAGUCGAGGAAUUUGGUUAAUUAAUCAGUUUUUUCCUUCGUCAUCUCCUGGGACUGCUAUAUUUGGCCUGGACAUAUUUGAAAGAAAACAAAAAAAUCAAGGACUACGUAUUAGUGCAUAAGACUUUAGUGACUAAGAGUCGUGUUUCUAUGGAACCCAUCCCAUCUGAAAAACUCAUGGUGCCCUAAAUUAAAAAUACGGAGGGAAUGGCAAUAACAUACGUAUCAAGCUGAAGGUUUUAAAAAAGAAUUUAUAGAAGCGAUGCCUUAAUGCUGUUUUUGCAAUUUAUGCAAACUGCAAAGUAAAUUAUUGAAGUACUAUAACAAGCUCCUCCGAAAUUUAAUGGACCAUUGCCACAAGAAGAUUAAGGUGUGAAGUCUUUUUAUACAUUAUAUUAAUUGAAGAGAUACUGAGAACAGUCAGUGGCCGGAAGAAUAUAUUAAUAUCUGUGUAUCAGAUAUUGAAAAUGUCGCACCACAACUGAUAUUUAAAAUAAUAAGUCAUGUGUGUUACUUAAAAUAAGUAAUACAAUAAGCAUAUAAUUAUUAUUUCUGUUAAAUUUCUAUUAAAAUUUAUAUAUUAUUGGGUAUAUUAUAGGUAUAUAAUUUGUUGUUGUCAAAAAUAAGGUUUAUAACCUACUGCUCCACAAACAUUAGGGUUAUUAA